GCAACGGGGAUGAGGGAUCUAAAGCACUUCAACGAUAAAUCCAUCCACCUCCUCGUCACCCGAGGCCUCCCUCCAGCCAUCCAUCCCCUCACCUGAGGCCUUCAUCGAGGCAACCAUCCCCUCACCCGAGGCCUUCGUCGAGGCAACCUGGACAGCUUCACCCUGGCACAGUUUACCGGCUGCAUUCAACCCGUCCACCCCUCCAGCCUCCAUGAUUCCACCAUCUCCUCUGUCCCACACAGGGAAAAAGAGGAAACGGAAGGGGGAGCAGGAUGACCUCCACAAUGGGAGGAUUUCGGAAUUGGCGGAGCGCAGACGGGCUGUGCUGUCACUUGAGGGCAUGGCAUCCCCAGAUAAAUAUUCUAUAUAUGGCCAGACGAUGGCGGAGCUGGCGAGGACAGCUGUGGCAGAGAAGCGGCAUUCAGCGAUGGUCAAGACCAUGAACUUUAUGCUUUCAGUACAGGCCGUAGACGACUUGUGCACUCUAUAAACUGUUCUUGUACUUUUGCAUUUUUAGUGUCAAUAGUUGGUUUGAAGGUUCCGGUCUGACGCAUGGCGGAGUAGGUCGCAAGCCGGGAAUACUCUGUUCACAUUUGGUCAAAAUUCUUGUUAUAUCCGUCUAAUUCCAUACAAAACUGGUGCUAACGCUGACUUUAGCUGAGAAUA